GCCACAAGUCUCUAUGAUCAGUCAUCGGUUGAAUCAUUCAACCAUUUUGAUUCACUAUUUUGGGGACAGUAUACUACUCUUCCAUCAUCUUCCAUCAAAAAGGUUUCUUUCAAAAACUUCAUUUUCACUGGCAGAGUAAAAAAGACAGCUGAUAAUAUCUAAACUGUUUUUCUAGACUAGUGGGGACUUAAACCUGAAUACGCACCAACUCAUGGAGACUCCAGACAGUGCACAUUCUAAAUGGGUGCUCUUCGAGGAGGGCAUCCUAGUGAGCAAUCAUCAGGGAUUGGGUCCCACGUCUGCCUCGGCAGAGCGAUGCUGCGGCUGUGGUUAUGGAGAUCACAAAUGGAUCUGGUGGAGGAGUUCUGCCAAAUGUGUCUCAAUGGGUCCUGCUGACUGUUGGAAGAGGCUACAUUAUACAGUUUGAUUCUCAUCCGCCUCAAUUCAACAGGGUAAUUUCCAACUGUGGUGGGCCCCGAGCAAUAGAACAGGACGUAACCUAGAGACAUUUUGCAUAACACAAAUAUAGUGCAUGUGGGUCAAAGACAAGACAUUUAAAAUUAAUUUUUUUUAAUUAUUUUUUACUCAUAGAAAGCAUAAAAUGCAUUAAAACUUUUGUGAAAAUGUCAAAAUAUGGAUGAAAUAAUGUUCCAUUGUCAUUUAGUGUAAUGUAAAAAUGAAACAAUAUACAUAUUCUGACCAGUGUUUAUUAAAAUAUAUAAAAGAAAAUGUGAUCAUGUUAAAUUGUAUUA